CUAUUAUAUAGAGUAGGUAUAAAAAGGAAUCUAAUCUGUUGUCAUAGUUUACGGUAUGUAUAACAAUAUGAUGAUUGAUAGAUCCGACACGUCGUCUGUUUUCCUAAAACAUGUACGCAAAGUUAACAUCUGCAAGUUCGGCAGUUUCGUAUAUCCGCUUCUAAACGUACAAUGCGUAUGCUAAACAUAUUGCGCGACGAACAAUGGUAUAGGAGGUCAUUGGCGUUGUGGAGAAUACCAAGUAAACUAUCAUAAUACAUUUCUUUUUUUUUUUUUUAAUGUUCAAAUUAAAUAUUAUUCAAAUGAUGUAAAAAGAGCUGAUACUGUCGAUGGGUGUACCACUGCUGUGGACGGGAAUUCGGGAAGGUAUAAUACAUAAGGUUAUUUAGUUUAUAUAUGUAAACAACGAUAAACCAUUGCUAACGAAAAAU